UGUGACCCUCUUUGGGUUUGUAACUCAAACGCUGUCACUUGUGCUGUCACUCCAUUGGCCAAAGCAACUUACGUGACCAAGCCCUACGUCCACAGAGUGGGAAAUAUAUUCCUGCUAUGGGGGAGAUGGGAAAUGAAUAUUUACUAAACAGUAUUCUAAUGAUCCUUCCCAGCUUAAAUUAAGAGAUGUUUUGGAGACUUCCUGAGGAUGAUGAGAGGCAUUCAGCAUGGAGCCACACAUGUGAUGGAAAAAUUGACGUGCAAAGAAGUAAAUGAAGUAUUUUGCUCCAGGUCACACGGCGAGUCAUUGGCAGAGCUGGGAUUCAAACCAGAGUCCUUGGGAUUAAUCACCAGGCUACACAGGUGUUAAUGCAGAAAUAAGGAUUGCGUGGUGGUCAACGGAGUCUGGGAGUCUGUGGAAUAAAAUAUUCCUGUGGAUGGUCUUUCUAAGGGUCUCGGUUGUCUCUUUCCUUUUCCAGGAUUCUUGUACUAAAACAUGAAAACAAACAAGCAAACAAAAGAUGAAAAGUGACUGCGGGAGCUCCUGAGAGUAAUCAAAGGAGAACAUUUUAAGAAUUGAUCUCAUUCGACCAUUUGCCAUAUUGUAUCUGUUCCUCAUUUGCAAAUAGCAGAACCACAGUGGGAGUGGAUUCUUAGAAGUUCUACAUGGUCUUCAGACUAACCAAACUGUAGAGGAUCAAGGAUGAUGGAUAACCAGUUACAUGAAACUUUCAUCUGGAGAAAGGGAUGGGGGGCGCUG